rnacentral:rRNA from 1 species
UGAGGAAUAUUGGUCAAUGGGUGCAAGCCUGAACCAGCCAUCCCGCGUGAAGGACGACUGCCCUAUGGGUUGUAAACUUCUUUUGUAUAGGGAUAAACCUACCCUCGUGAGGGUAGCUGAAGGUACUAUACGAAUAAGCACCGGCUAACUCCGUGCCAGCAGCCGCGGUAAUACGGAGGGUGCAAGCGUUAUCCGGAUUUAUUGGGUUGAAAGGGUCCGUAGGCGGACUUAUAAGUCAGUGGUGAAAGCCUGUCGCUUAACGAUAGAACUGCCAUUGAUACUGUAAGUCUUGAGCAUAUUUGAGGUAGCUGGAAUAAGUAGUGUAGCGGUGAAAUGCAUAGAUAUUACUUAGAACACCAAUUGCGAAGGCAGGUUACCAAGAUAUAACUGACGCUGAGGGACGAAAGCGUGGGGAGCGAACA